AGUGAACGCUGGCGGUAGGCCUAACACAUGCUAGUCGAACGGCAGCACAGUAAGAGCUUGCUCUUACGGGUGGCGAGUGGCGGACGGGUGAGGAAUACAUCGGAAUCUACUUUUUCGUGGGGGAUAACGUAGGGAAACUUACGCUAAUACCGCAUACGACCUACGGGUGAAAGCAGGGGAUCUUCGGACCCUGCGCGAUUGAAUGAGCCGAUGUCGGAUUAGCUAGUUGGCGGGGUAAAGGCCCACCAAGGCGACGAUCCGUAGCUGGUCUGAGAGGAUGAUCAGCCACACUGGAACUGAGACACGGUCCAGACUCCUACGGGAGGCAGCAGUGGGGAAUAUUGGACAAUGGGCGCAAGCCUGAUCCAGCCAUACCGCGUGGGUGAAGAAGGCCUUCGGGUUGUAAAGCCCUUUUGUUGGGAAAGAAAAGCAGCAGGUUAAUACCCCGCUGUUCUGACGGUACCCAAAGAAUAAGCACCGGCUAACUUCGUG
rnacentral:rRNA from 1 species